rnacentral:rRNA from 1 species
UUAUACAGCGAAACUGCGAAUGGCUCAUUAUAUAAGUUAUCGUUUAUUUGAUAGUACCUUACUACUUGGAUAACCGUGGUAAUUCUAGAGCUAAUACAUGCUGAAAAUCCCGACUUCGGAAGGGAUGUAUUUAUUAGAUUAAAAACCAAUGCCCUCUGGGCUCUCUGGUGAUUCAUAAUAACUUCUCGAAUCGCAUGGCCUUGCGCCGGCGAUGGUUCAUUCAAAUUUCUUCCCUAUCAACUUUCGAUGUUUGGGUAGUGGCCAAACAUGGUUGCAACGGGUAACGGAGGGUUAGGGCUCGACCCCGGAGAAGGAGCCUGAGAAACGGCUACUACAUCCAAGGAAGGCAGCAGGCGCGCAAAUUACCCAAUCCCGAUUCGGGGAGGUAGUGACAAUAAAUACUGAUACAGGGCUCUUUUGGGUCUUGUAAUUGGAAUGAGUACAAUUUAAAUCCCUUAACGAGGAACAAUUGGAGGGCAAGUCUGGUGCCAGCAGCCGCGGUAAUUCCAGCUCCAAUAGCGUAUAUUAAAGUUGUUGUGGUUAAAAAGCUCGUAGUUGAACCUUGGGCCUGGCUGGCCGGUCCGCCUCACCGCGUGUACUGGUCCGGCCGGGUCUUUCCCUCUGUGGAACCCCAUGCCCUUCACUGGGUGUGGCGGGGAAACAGGACUUUUACUUUGAAAAAUUAGAGUGCUCCAGCAGGCCUAUGCUCGAAUACAUUAGCAUGGAAUAAUGAAAUAGGACGUGCGGUCUAUUUUGUUGGUUUCUAGGACCGCCGUAAUGAUUAAUAGGGACAGUCGGGGGCAUCAGUAUUCAAUUGUCAGAGGUGAAAUUCUUGGAUUUAUUGAAGACUAACUACUGCGAAAGCAUUUGCCAAGGAUGUUUUCAUUAAUCAGGAACGAAAGUUAGGGGAUCGAAGACGAUCAGAUACCGUCGUAGUCUUAACCAUAAACUAUGCCGACUAGGGAUCGGACGAUGUUAUUUUUUGACUCGUUCGGCACCUUACGAGAAAUCAAAGUGC